AAGUCGUAACAAGGUCUCCGUAGGUGAACCUGCGGAGGGAUCAUUAACACGUAUCCAAACGUAUCAAACCCAAACCGUGAACUUAACAUUCCCAUAGGGGAGAGACGAUUAGUAAGCCAUAGAUGGAUUCCACCUCUUUUGGGAAACCAGAGAGGAACUGCUUACAAUCUAUCGGUCCUCGAGACCAGUCAAUCCUUUAUGGUGUAUCUACCAAGCCAUCUGGGUUACUUGUGUCAAACCAGUUUUCGAACUGGGGAAGCCUUGUAACCUUACUUCAAACCCCUUUUUUUAAAUCUACUGAUCUACAUUUCAACUAGAAAUGGUUGAAAUACGAAACGCGAACAACUCUUAGCAACGGAUAUCUUGGUUCUC
rnacentral:misc_RNA from 1 species